rnacentral:rRNA from 1 species
GACAGAGGUGCCAAGCGUUAGGCGGAAUCACUGGGCUUAAAGCGUGUGUAGGCGGAUGCCUAAGUACCUUGUGAAAUCCCCCGGCUCAACCGGGGAACGGCUGGGUAUACUGGGUGUCUUGGGUCAUCUAGGGGCUGCCGGAACAAAGGUGGGAUGGCGGCUGGUAAGUAAACUGGUCGAUGAAGUAAUUACUCAAUUUUUGGGGAAACCGCCCCAAAACCGGGGCCGGAAAAAAGGCCAAGGGGCCAGGCCUUGGGGGGGGGAAUUGGCCAACCCCGGAACCGGC